CUUGGUUCAGGAUGAACGCUGGCGGCGUGCUUAAUACAUGCAAGUCGAACGAAGCACUUUCAGCAGAUCCCUUCGGGGUGAAGCCGGUUGUGACUUAGUGGCGGACGGGUGAGUAACGCGUGGGUAACCUGCCUUAUACAGGGGGAUAACAGCUGGAAACGACUGCUAAUACCCCAUAAGCGCACGGCACCGCAUGAUGCAGUGUGAAAAAGAUUUUAUCGGUAUAAGAUGGACCCGCGUCUGAUUAGUUAGUUGGCGGGGUAACGGCCCACCAAGACCGCGAUCAGUAGCCGACUUGAGAGAGUGAUCGGCCACAUUGGGACUGAGACACGGCCCAGACUCCUACGGGAGGCAGCAGUAGGGAAUAUUGCACAAUGGGGGAAACCCUGAUGCAGCGACGCCGCGUGAAGUGAUUGAAGUAUUUCGGUAUGUAAAGCUCUAUCAGCAGGGAAGAAAGGCCCGAAAGGGAGAUGACGGUACCUGACUAAGAAGCCCCGGCUAACUACGUGCCAGCAGCUGC
rnacentral:rRNA from 1 species